AAUUGUAUUAAAGUAAUCCAGGCUUAGAUAUACUGUCCUGAUGUUUGCUGUAUCUAAGUCACAGUUCUAAGGAUUUGAAAACCACACACUCUUCUCCCUCGUCUCACUCUCCCAGCAUGCCCAUAAGGGUGAAGAUUUUAAUGGUGCCCACUCCAUAAAGUAGUUAUGAGAAUCCUAUGGGGUAAUAUUUAUAUGAUUCUUGGAAUUAUGACUGGAAUGUAGUAAGUGCUACAUGAAUGUUUGUUAAACACACAUCAAAAAGAGUACUCUGUCUUUUCAAAUCCAUAAGUGUCCGGUUGUUCCAGUGUCGUUUGUGGAAGGAACCAUUCUCCCCCAACACGCUGCUACACAAAAACCACAAGGGGUAGCCUUAGAGAAAGAGCACGAAAGGAAUGGAUUUCUGACGGAGUCUGCAUGAGCAAAGUAUUAUUUCUCUCUCACAAUUACCGUAAAAUUUGCGGAUGGAGAU